UGUUUUAAAAAACAGCAAUAGCAUGCAUGUCUAGUAUAGCAUAUACGUGAAACUGCGAUGCUCAUAAAUCAGUAUCGUUAUUGAUAGUACCUACUACUGGAUAACCGUGGUAAUCUAGAGCUAAUACAUGCUGAAAACCCCAACUUCGGAAAGGGUGUAUUAUUAGAUAAAAAACCCAAUGCCUUCGGGGCUUCUUGGUGAUUCAUGAUAACUAAACGGAUCGCAUGGCCUUGCGCCGGGCGACGGUUCAUUCAAAUUUCUGCCCUAUCAACUUUCGAUGGUAAGGUAUUGGCUUACCAUGGUUUCAACGGGUAACGGGGAAUUAGGGUUCGAUUCCGGAGAGGGAGCCUGAGAAACGGCUACCACAUCCAAGGAAGGCAGCAGGCGCGCAAAUUACCCAAUCCCGACACGGGGAGGUAGUGACAAUAAAUACUGAUACAGGGCUCUUUUGGGUCUUGUAAUUGGAAUGAGUACAAUUUAAACCUCUUAACGAGGAACAAUUGGAGGGCAAGUCUGGUGCCAGCAGCCGCGGUAAUUCCAGCUCCAAUAGCGUAUAUUAAAGUUGUUGCAGUUAAAAAGCUCGUAGUUGAACCUUGGGCCUGGCUGGCAGGUCCGCCUCACCGCGUGUACUUGUCCGGCCGGGCCUUUCCUUCUGGAGAACCUCAUGCCCUUCACUGGGUGUGCUGGGGAACCAGGACUUUUACUUUGAAAAAAUUAGAGUGUUCAAAGCAGGCCUUUGCUCGAAUACGUUAGCAUGGAAUAAUAGAAUAGGACGUGCGGUCCUAUUUUGUUGGUUUCUAGGACCGCCGUAAUGAUUAAUAGGGACAGUCGGGGGCAUCAGUAUUCAAUUGUCAGAGGUGAAAUUCUUGGAUUUAUUGAAGACUAACUACUGCGAAAGCAUUUGCCAAGGAUGUUUUCAUUAAUCAGUGAACGAAAGUUAGGGGAUCGAAGACGAUCAGAUACCGUCGUAGUCUUAACCGUAAACUAUGCCGACUAGGGAUCGGGCGAUGUUCUCAUUUUGACUCGCUCGGCACCUUACGAGAAAUCAAAGUUUUUGGGUCUGGGGAGUAGCUCUGC
rnacentral:rRNA from 1 species